CCAAAAAACAAAAACAGGUUCAAAAUACUGUCUUUAUCUCUCCUUUUUUUUCUCUCAGAUUAUGCUGAUGACGAGAUGCCGCAGUAUGAUGAAGAAUAUCUCGGAACAAAAGUGCCUUGGGGUGAUGAUGGUUACACUUACACUACUUCGAGACGAAGUUCUUACGCGAAUGGCAGCGCUGAAUGGGACACCGAUUACUCCUCUGGUAAAUACAAUCCUGGUCGUGGCGGUAGGAGUGGGUCGUACGGCAGCUAUGAAAGCAGCAGUUCAGGAAGAAGCGCUGAGUCCGACGAUGAUAGUCUGUACCAAUGUUCGCGUUGCGGUCAUAGCGGCGGCGGCAGAGGCUCUCACUCGCAUAGUUACUCCAUCAGCGGGCGUAUGAGCGGCAUGAACACCCCGGCCGACUCUUACGAAUACGACGACGACGCCGACUCGGACUCGGACAGUUACAGUUCUUACAGCAGCAGUAGCAGCAGCAGCAGCAGCAGUGGCUACAGAGACAUGGACGACAUGGACGACAUGGGCAGCAUGGCCAUGGAGGCGGACGAGCCGUGGAGUGCUGACCCUUUUGCGAGCAGUCACAAGUCGCGGUUCCCGCAAUGGGAGGACGACGAUGAAUUCGAGGGCGACAUGGGCCCUGCAAGUCCUCCAAGUCGGGGAUCCAGGACCCCAACUGCAGGAUCGACCCGAAUCGCAGGAUCCCGGACUCCGACUGCAGGGUCGCUGACCCGAACUCGAGGAUCGCGGACUCCAACUCGAGGUUGGGAUCGAGCCGAUGACCGUGACCCACGUGACGAUUACACAUCUUCCCAGUACGGUACCACGUACGGUAACGAAACCCCGCGACGUAAGACGUCGUACGGUGAAACCGAUUACGCAACGCCGAAACCUAAGACUUUUAGGACGUAUGUUGAAGACAGUAACGACACACCUCCACGCAUGUUCGGGUCGAACGCAGGGAUCUUCUCCAGCUUUAACACCCCCAGUAGUUUCAAGAAUGGCUUAAACAGGGGUUUUAGUGGUAAUUUCGGGGUCGGAUACAACAGUCCCUUCAAUGGUGGCUUCAGCAGUGGCUACGGUGGCGGUUUCGGUGGUGGUUACAAUCCCUUCGGCUACGGUGGUUUUGGCAGCUUCGGUAGUAGAAAUAACAUGAUGAUUUCGACCCGAGUGUUUGACGCUGUGCAAGAUUUGAUCGAGGACCAGUCGAUGUUUUACGUGACGUUUGAAUGCCCGCCCAAAGUCGGUAAAUACUUUUGUAAAAUGCAAUGCAAAAUGCGUGACGAAAAAUUGACAGGGAGCUGCGACGGUGGAUAUUGCAACUGCAUGCUUAAAUGGGAGAAGAAGAUGAAGAAGGCAAUGAGCAAACGGCUCCGAGCUGCUAUGGAGGGUUACGACACGGAUUGCAAUGACUACAAGAAAGCGAAACAUUGCAAACGGUUCUGCAAAGCUCUGACACCGGACAAAACGUUCACCGGUCAGUGCAACGUUGACCACUGUCAAUGCGUGACCUACCCGAAGACCCCGGGCAUGAAGAAGAACGCUUGCACGAAAGCCAUCAAUAAGCUAAAGAAGAUCGAGGACCAAGCGUUGUCGCGGCUAGGGAUCAAACCGAAGCCUCUGAGCAGCCUCAGUGCCGCCGCAGAGAAGCAGGUCAACGCAGUCGCCGACGAAGCCAUCCAGAAGUUGAAGGCCAGCAACUCCAUGGACGGGUGCACCGAGGAGGACAUACAGAAUCUGAAGUCCAUCAUAUCUAGUCUCUCCCAAGGAUUGAACCUGGUCAAAGGGGCAGACUACGGGUCAAUCCUCACUGGCGGUGGUAGCGGUAAGGGCGCCGAUGGUAAUCCUGGGAGUCCCGGUAAAAGCGGUGCAAGUGUCGAGAGGAGUGUUGGAAUUUCCAGCAGAAGUGCUGGAGGUGGAUAUGGAGGAAGUGCUGCAGGUGGAUACGGCGCAAGUGGUGGAAAUGGCGGUGGAUAUGGUGGAAGUGAUGGAGGUGGCGGUGGAUAUGGCGGAAGUGGCGGUGGAUAUGGCGGAAGUGGCGGUGGAUAUGGUGGAAGUCCCAGUAGAGGUGGUUGAAGUGGAGGUGGAGGUGGCGGUUGGAAGCAGCAGCUUGUAUGAUCAGGAUUAAAUAUUUUACUUCAUAUUUGGCAACUAUUAAACUCUAUCAACGAUUAAAACAUGUCUUAUGCAUCACCAAACUUCAUUCUGUAUAGUAAUUCUAAACUAAUUCUUAUCUCGGAGCUUAUUGUCCGAUGCGAAUUUCACUCCGCAGCGGUCAGAUUAUUGAACUUGAUAGGCAAAGCGAUGGACAAAGAAGUGAAAGGGAAAAUUAGGCGAUCGACUAACUGUAGGAUCUCUCGUGGGUUGCAUUUAAUUAGUCUAUUAUAUUUAUCUCCUUUGUCCAUCGCCUUGACCCGUCUUCACCAAUAGGAUCACUCCAUUUUACCUUUGCCUUUGUCUUGAGCGUCUAUACCUUUGCCCAUUAAUUUGUCACUACAAGAAUGUCAAUAGGAAGUAUCACGCAGCACCUUGCAGCAACCUUGCCCUCUGUUACGUUGCGUAACACUAGAAUAUGUAUACUUUUUAAAAUCCUUGUUUUUUUAGAUAAUCAUCAUAUUAUCUAACGUUACCCUGGAAUAUUGAAUGCAAUUCGUUUAAUUUUAGUUUUUAACCAUGUAGAUAGAAACAAGGAAAUAAUUGUAGUAGUUACGUUAUAUUUAAAUACAUUCCUUCAAUAUCAAUAUAUAUACACACAUAUACAUACAUAGAAAAAAAGAGGAUCUUGAUUUAAGCAGAAAUAUUCUUAAAAUUGCCGCUUUUUAACCAACGAGAAUAGAUGACCAGAUCUGGAAG
rnacentral:lncRNA from 1 species